rnacentral:misc_RNA from 1 species
AUGGCGCGGUGGGGAUGGACGUUGCUGAUCCUGACGACCGUCUGGACGCUGGGCGACGGUUACCUGGCGGUGCUGCCGUCCAGCACGCCCGUCGGCGCCGUCGUCUUCGAGGCCGGGGUGCCGCAGCUGGGCGGUCGGCGGAAGUACGAGGCUUCGAGCGAACGCACCGCCUGGUUCGCCCGGAAGCUCCUCAAAGUGCAUCCGCACUCGGGUCGCGUGACCCUGGCGAGGACGCUGAGCUGCGACGGACUCCAGUACCCGCGCGUCUUCACCUUUUACGUCGACUCGACGAGCUCCCGCCUCGGUAGGCCCACCAUCGACUACUACAGCCUGCCGCUGAGGAUCCUGAUCACCGGAUGCGGCGGAGAAAAUCGCGACCUGGCAGCUACCAGAGGCUGGAUGGCGGAGACUCUGGCCUCUUACGCGAUGCCCAGCACCGAAAGGUUUACUGAAGUGUGUCUGCGAACGUCUCAACUAGUGGCAGCUCUUCGCGAUUUCCUACCACAGACGGCCCUGAAGGAAUGCGAGACCAGAUGGGGUGGAGUUGCGGAUCCCAGAUUUCUCGUGGAGGGCGCCGCUGGAGAUUUGGUCUCCGCCACCGAACAAUGCUUGGUGGAUCCAUUAUGGAAAGUCUCGGUCAGCAUGAACCUACGUUGCUCCGGUGAUUCGCGUCUGACCGACGCCGAGCAUCGGCUGAAGAUUGUGUUCCAUCAUCGUCAACUAGACGACACCGAUCUGGGUAGAAGAGUGAGGCGUGAGUUGAAAAACCAGUCGCCGUACUUCGAGCAACCUCUCUAUGUAGCUGCCGUUGAAGAGGAGAAAGAAAAGGGGGUGUACGUGACUACAGUAAGAGCUAGAGAUCCUGAAAACGGCGCCGUGCGAUAUUCCAUGAACUCGCUGAUUGAUGCGAGAUCGCAAGCGCUGUUAGCUCUCGAUUCAGUGACUGGAAGAGUGACCACUCAUGACAGACUGGACAGAGAGAACGUCGACGUGCACUACUUCCGAGUAUUAGCAGUGGAUGAUUCGUUUCCACCGAGAACCGGUACGACGACUCUCCAGGUCAAUGUAUUGGAUGCGAACGAUCAUACGCCCAGUUUUGAGUGGUCAGAAUAUGACGCGACGGUGCGAGAGGGUGUCCCCGUGGGCUCCACUGUGGUUACAGUUAAAGCUACGGAUCAGGAUACCGGUAGAAAUGCCGAAGUGGAGUAUUGUAUCAUUUCUACCACGGCAGGUGAUACUACUACGCAUACGGAGGACGCGGCAACUUUCAGAAUCGAUUCAAGAUCUGGUGUGGUAACCACGCGGACUCCGCUCGAUCGCGAGGUGAUCGAAGUUUAUACAGUGGUGCUCAGCGUUACCGAUCAAGCAACACCACCUUCAACGCGACGAAGCACGAACGCAACUCUGAUGGUGCGCGUGCUAGAUGACAACGACAACUAUCCACAGUUCACUGAACGCACGUACUCGGCGUCGGUAUCCGAGGAUUUGGACUACACGAGUAAUCCGGUGGUGGCUCGUAUCCGGGCGACGGACGCGGAUGCCGGCGCUAAUGCGGCUGUCCGCUAUGCCAUCAUCGGCGGCAACACGCAAAACACAUUCUCCAUCGACUCGAUGAGCGGUGACGUCGCUUUGGUCAAGCCUCUCGACUACGAAUCCAUCAGGAACUAUAAAAUCGUCAUACGCGCCCAGGACGGCGGUUCACCCGCUCGAUCCAACACCACUCAGUUGUUGGUGAUGGUCAAAGAUGUGAACGAUAACGCACCGCGAUUCUACACAAGCCACUUUCAAGAAUCAGUGUCAGAAAACGUGCCGUUAGGUUACUCGGUACUGAGAGUGCAAGCGUAUGACGCGGACGAGAGUAACAACGCACUUAUCAAAUAUAACAUUGGUGCACGCGACUUCACUGGUGCCUCCACAGAAAACUUUCCCAUCACUGUGAACGCAGAGACUGGAUGGAUCUACACGACGAAGCAAUUGGACCGCGAACAGUGCUCGAGAUACCAAUUUAUCGUAAUCGCGAUGGACUCUGGCGAGGAACCAAAGUCCGCGAGUGCGACGGUGAUUCUCACGGUGACUGAUGUGAACGAUAACGAUCCUUACUUCGAGCCGAAGAACUACGAGGCUGUAAUAUCCGAAGACGAUCCACCGGGCACUCCGGUCGCCUCAGUGACUGCUACUGAUCCGGACGAGGAUGCCAGGAUCCACUACGAGAUUACGGGCGGUAACACGCGCGGACGUUUCUCCAUCGCGUCGCAAAACGGUCGCGGUCUCAUCACCGUCGCUCAGCCGCUCGACUACAAGCAAGAAAAGCGAUUCGUGCUGACGGUGACAGCUUCAGACAGCGGCGGCCGCACCGACACCGCCCUGGUCUAUGUCAACGUAUCGGACGCCAACAACUUCUCACCAGUGUUCGAGAAUGCGCCAUACUCGGUCUCGGUUUUCGAAGAUGCACCGGUCGGUGUGACUGUCCUGGUGGUCAGUGCCACUGAUUCUGAUGUUGGCAAGAAUGCCCAGAUCACUUACAGCCUAGCCACUGAUAAUGGAGAACAGACGAUCAACGAGUUCACUAUCAAUCCGCAGACUGGAGCGAUCACGACGACUAAAGCGCUCGAUCGCGAACUAAUACCAUCGUACUUGUUGACAGUAACUGCUAGAGACGGCGGGAUACCGCCGUUGUCGGAUACCACCGAUGUGGAGAUUUCUGUUACGGACGUGAAUGAUAAUGCGCCAGUCUUCGAGGCGCCGCAGUAUCUCGGAUCAAUUCCUGAAGAUGUUUUAGUGGGCACUAGUGUAGUCAGGAUUGCGGCGACCGAUGCGGAUACUGAUCUCAAUGGCCGGGUAAGAUAUGCUUUAGAGGACGACGGCGACGGCGCAUUCGCAAUUGAUUCUAUGACAGGUAUCGUUAGAACCGCAAAACCGUUGGAUCGAGAAUCGGUUGCGCGUUAUACGCUAAAAGCCGCUGCCAUAGAUCGCGGUUCACCCGCGCUUUCAUCCGUCGUUCCGGUCAUCGUCAAGAUCGAGGACAUCAAUGAUUCGCCCCCCGCCUUCGAAAGUGACAAAAUCAUCCUUUAUAUCGCUGAGAACUCGCCAAUCGGCUCGACCGUCGGCGAAAUUUAUGCUCAUGAUCCGGACGAGGGUCAAAAUGCAGUAGUGCAUUAUAGUAUCAUCGGGGGCGAAGACAUAAACAGUUUUACCUUGCAUAUCCGACAGGGAGCCGAUCGGGCAGAACUUAUUACUCUCGAAGAAUUGGAUUAUGAAUCGCCGAAGAAGAAAUUCGAACUUAUAGUGCGCGCUGCAUCGUCGCCGUUGCGCUCCGAUGCGCUGGUGCACAUUUUAGUGACUGACGUAAACGAUAAUGCGCCGGUGCUCAAGGAUUUCCAGAUCAUCUUCAACAACUUCAAGGAUUUCUUCCCGACCGCACCGAUUGGCCGUAUACCGGCGGUGGAUGCCGACGUCACUGACAAUCUAGUCUACAGCAUCCUCGCCGGUAACAAUGCAAAUCUGAUCGAUCUCAAUAAAACCACCGGCGAGAUUAGAUUAUCGCCACAGCUCAACACCAACGUUCCACGAGUGGCGACCAUGGAAGUCGCCGUGACGGAUGGCAUCAACGAAGCGAAAGCCACGAUGACAUUAUCGGUGCGUUUGAUCACCGAUGAGAUGCUGUUGAACUCGAUUACAGUGAGAUUGGACGAUAUGACGGUGGAAGCGUUUCUGAGUCCUCUUCUGGGUUAUUUCCUGGAUGGUCUGGCAGCUAUUAUUCCGUGUCCGCGCGAAAACAUCUUUCUCUUCAGCAUUCAAGAAGAUGCAAACGUGCACGCCAAGAUCUUGAACGUGAGUUUUUCGGCGCGCAGAGUAGAGCCCGGUACAAUCGAUGAGUUUUACAGUCCGCAGUUUCUUCAAGAACGCGUCUAUCUAAAUCGCGGUAUCUUAGCGAGAUUGGCGACAGUCACAGUUUUACCCUUCGACGACAAUCUUUGCGUUAGAGAGCCUUGUCUAAAUUUCGAAGAGUGCCUGACAGUAUUAAAAUUCGGCAACGCGUCCGGUUUUGCCAGCAGCGAUACAGUUCUCUUUCGACCCAUCUAUCCAGUAACAACGUUUGCUUGCCGAUGUGGCCGAGGUUUCACCGGCAGCCGUGAAGCAUAUAUGUGCGACACCGAGGUGAACUUGUGUUAUUCAAAUCCAUGCAUGAACGGUGGCACUUGUUAUAGACGAGAAAAUGGAUACUCGUGCAUCUGCCAGCCUGGCUUUACCGGCGAGAACUGCGAGAUCUCGCUAGACCACGACGUUUGCUCGACGCCUGGUAUUUGUAAGGACGGCUCUCGAUGCACUACUCUUAAGAAUACCGGCGGUUUCAUCUGCGAGGAUUGCCCCAUAGCCGCGCUCGAAAACGUGACACCAUUUUGCGAGCUUAGAGCGCGCAGCUUUGGUCCGGCAACGUUUCUCACCUUCGCUUCUCUCAGACAACGUCAUCGCCUCCAUCUGAGACUAAAGUUUGCCACCGAGCUGACCGACGGUCUCUUACUCUACAACGGCAGGUACAACGAACGUCAUGACUUCAUCGCUCUGGAGAUCGUGGAUUCGAAAGUGCAAUUUAGCUUCUCUCUCGGUGAUGAGGUAAGCCGGGCUACGGCGGGCAUUCUCGGUGGAGUCUCAGAUGGACAAUGGCACGAGGUCGAGGUCUCCUACAUCAAUCGAACAGUGACAGUGUCCCUGGAUGACUGCGACAUCGCACUCGCUCUGGAACACGGCGAGAGGCUGGGACCGAGAUGGAACUGCGCCGGCAGGAGCGAAAGAAUUCUCGAGGAACGCUGUGGACUCGUUACCGAGACCUGUCACAGAUUCCUGGAUUUAACCGGACCGUUGCAACUUGGCGGUCUACCGGCGAUCCCUUCCAACUUUCAAAUUCGCAACAAGGACUACGUCGGAUGUAUCAGUGAUCUCUACAUCGAUCAUACUUUCGUCAACUUGAACUCCUUCGUGGCAGACAAUGGAACCCAUGCGGGUUGUCCUGAGAAGGCCGCCUUUUGUGCCUCAUCUCCCUGCAGAAAUAAUGGAAAAUGUCGCGAAGUAUGGGCAGGUUUUCUUUGCGAAUGCGAAGACGCGUUCGCCGGUCCAACCUGCGACGAAGAGGUCGGUCAACCAUGGAUGUUUCAUGGGCAUGGUAUGCUCAGUUUCAACCCGUUGCUGCGACCAAUUCAGUUACCUUGGCUAACCGCACUGAGUCUUCGAACUCGAGAGCAGCACGCGUUCGUGAUGAGCGUCCAAAUCGGCCAGAACAGCUCAGUGCUACUAGAGAUUCGAGAUGGCAAGCUGGUGGUCUCAUUAGACGGCACGGAUGUAAUUGGUACUACUAAUUACGUCGCCGACGGCGAAUGGCAUCGACUGGAAAUCCUCUGGCAGAGCGGCCACGUGUCUUUAGACAUCGACUACCGCGAUCGGCCAACAACACUGCUCCUACCCGCCAAGCUCCAAGGCCUUUACGUCGGUCGAAUACUCGUAGGCGGCCCAGACCAGACUAUCGACUCGCAAUUGAAACCUUUAUACGGUUGCUUGCAGAACAUACGAGUUGGAUCGAACCAGAGUCUACUCCAUCGCCCGACAGUGAAGGAGAACAUCAGCAUCGGUUGCCCAUCGAAAUCCAAAUGCGAAAUCAAUUGCGAUCCAGACACUACAACCUGCCUAUCCCGAUGGCAAUCCAGCGAAUGCGUAUGCUCCGCUGGUUACGUUGGGCCCAAGUGCGAGCCCGUGUGCGACCUACAUCCGUGCAAGCAAACUGGCGAAUGUUUGAAGGACGUAACUACGUCGAAGCGUGGUUAUCGUUGCGAUUGUACGUCAUCAGAGUACACAGGCAAUUAUUGUGAUAUCAAAGCCGAUCAACCCUGUCCAGCAACGUGGUGGGGCACGCCAGUAUGCGGUCCCUGCCACUGCGACGAGACUAAAGGCUACGAUCCGGCCUGCAACAAGACCACCGGCGAAUGUUACUGCAAAGAGAACCAUUAUCAGCCGACUGGGCGCAAGGAAUGCAUACCUUGCGAAUGUUACGCGACCGGCAGCUUCGGGCCACGUUGCGACAGCGAAACCGGUCAAUGUCGCUGCCGAACCGGAGUCAUCGGUCGGGCGUGCACCGACUGUCCGAAUCCUUAUGCCGAGGUAACUCUGAGGGGUUGCGAGGUAGUGUACGACGGUUGUCCUAAAUCGUAUUCGGAUGGUCUGUGGUGGUCACGGACUCUCUUCGGAAUGACAGCCAUUGAGAAUUGUCCGGGCACCGCCGAGGGCAAGGCCUCAAGAUCCUGUGACGACAAAUUGGGCGGUUGGCAAUUGCCUGAUCUCUUCAAUUGCACCUCGGAGGCUUUUAUUGAGCAACGACAUCAGCUCGCAGCCCUGGAGACCAAGGAUCUUACAUUGAACACUUACGUGGCUGUGAAGAUGGCAAAGGAUGUUCAUCGAGCAGUGAAUAUCACUAGAGAGAUGUACGGAGCGGACCUUUUGGUAGCCGAAUCCUUGUUGGUGACGUUGCUACGUUACGAAGAAAGCCUGGUGGGGUUGAAUUUGACUCACAGCCAGGAUAAAGAUUAUGUUUCUCACCUGAUUGGCAUAGCUGGAGCGAUCUUGAGAUCCAAGUAUAAGGAGAAAUGGGAAAAGAUAGGAGAACUCAACGGAGACAGUUCCGAUAAGAUUCUGAACGCUAUGGCGAAUUAUUUGAAGACUCUGACGGCAUCGCAACAUGAUACUUUUACCAGUCCCUUUGAAGUAGUCGAUAGUAACGUUGUGCUCGGUCUAGACAUCGUAACAUCAGAGAGUCUCUUUGGCUACGAGACGGCCGAAUACAAGGAAGAUCCUACCUUAUCAACGGCAAGACCUUCAGAAGCCGACCGGAAGGUCAUUCUUCCUGAUACCUCUGCUUUUCUUAGUUCUUCGACGCACUUUGGUCCGUCUAUCAGCUUUCCAAAGUACAAUAAUUAUAUGGCAGAUCCCAGCAGAUUCGACCCGCAUUCGAAAAUCCAAGUGCCUCUCAACACGCUGGGCAUUAAACCUCUCGUGCAGGGCGAGCUGAAUGUCAAAAAUAGCCUAAGUAAUCGAAAGGCCGUACUGAGUUAUGUACAGUACAAGGAACUCGGCGCUCUCUUGCCACAAAGAUUCGACGAUUCAGUCGCAGUUAGAUGGGGUGUAGAAGUAGCAGUUGGCUCGCCUGUAAUGACCAUCUCAGUAUUGGUUCCUUCAGACAACGGUUAUGAAUCCUUGACUGGAAUCCCUUUGCAGUCACCUGUUCAAGUUCGACUUUGGCUCAACGAGAACGAUGAUUUUAAAACUAGAACGAAUCCACAGUGUGUUCAUUGGAGCACGGCGAGGGGAAUCGGCGAAUGGAGUCGAAUGGGCUGCACAACGGAAAUCGAGGAUAAUACUCUGUCAUUCGGUACCAUCGUGAAUUGUUCCUGCUUGCAAUUGUCCACCUUCGCUAUACUAACGGACGUUCUCGAUCUGGAAUACGUUCCCGAACCAUCCCUACUGGAAGAUGUGACCAGCUACAGCGCGUUUAUGCUCGCUCUACCGCUAUUAUUGUCCGCUCUCCUGAUCUUAGCAUUAAUUCGCGGUGGAGGCACCAACUCUAAUAGUAUCCACAAGAACCUAGUAUUGUGCGUUUUCGUCGCGGAAAUCCUAUACCUGAUCGCACUUAAAGCCAGGGGUCCUCUCAUUUCUAAUGAGUUUACGUGCAAAUUGACGGCGAUAGGACUGCAUUACGCUUGGUUGAGCACUUUCGCUUGGACCCUCGUUGAUUCUGUUCAUCUCUAUCGGAUGUUGACAGAGAUGAGGGAUGUGAAUCACGGACAGAUGAGAUUUUAUUAUACCAUGGGAUACGGUCUACCGGCUGUUAUUGUUGGACUCACCAUCGGUGUCAGGGCUGAUCAAUAUGGAAAUUUCUAUUUUUGUUGGCUAUCUAUCUACGAGACCGUGAUCUGGUCACUAAUAGGACCUGUCUGUGCAGCUGUGUUGGUGAACUUCUGCAUUCUCGUGAUGUGUAUUCGCGCAGCUUUUACUUUGAAGGAACACAUCAUGGGUUUCGGAAAUUUGCGAACGCUUUUAUGGCUCUCCGUGGCAUCGUUACCCUUGUUAGGAUCAACAUGGACCUUGGCGGUUCUCAAUGCAUCCGAGAACUCACCGACUCUAUCAUACUUGCUAAGUGUUACCAUCGUGAUUCACGCAGCAUUCAGCCUGAUCGGUUAUUGCUUCAUCAAUGGCAGAGUGAGAAGAAAUUUGUAUCAAAGUUUAUUAAGAUGUAUGGGCAAAAAGACACCUUUGCUGGAAGGAAGCAUGGGUAAUGGAAGUAGCAGUCAAAAUGUGAAUGGUCAAUCGCGUUCGGCAUUAGCUUACUCUUCGACCUAUAGCGGAGCCGAAUCCGCAUGCAGGAGAGUUCACGUCGGCGUAUCCACGAGCAGCACAACUUCAAGAAGUACAAAUAAAACGGGUUCAAGCCCUUAUCGUAGCGAUACACACUUGAGACAUACGUCAACAUCCACAAGCAACUACAACAGCGAUCGAGAUCCAUAUCUAUCAUCCAGGAGUCAUCGGUCAGUGUUACACUCUCGACAAGAAUCUACAGAGGUGAGAAGUCAGCGCAGAGAAUCGGAAUCAGAUUCCGAUGGCUCGCAAGCCGAAGGAGGCGGAAGAAGCCUGGAUCUCGCCAGUUCGCACAGUUCCGAUGAAGACGACGUGACGUCGAGGUCUCACAGGAACAUGGGAGUAUCUACACAGCAGCAUGUUGCCCACAGCUACCUACCUAACAUUCACACUAAUCCCGCCGAACACUUGAACAUACUUUGCUCGAAUGCCGAGUUGUUUCCCAACAUCAAACCCAUCUACGCCCCUCGAUGGAGCUCUCAACUGCCGGAAGCAUAUUUAUCAUCAAAUGUGAUGGAUGUGCGUGGCAGUCAAUGGUCCGGCGGCACCAUGUCGGAUAACGAGAUGGCUUCGAACAAGACCUCGAGUCCGAAUCCACUGCCGUAUCCAGAGAUGAGCUCGCCUCAGAAGAGCCAGCCGGACGAAAAUUAUUCAGAAGGCGAGGAGAAGGUGCACCAUCUGGGUGAGAAGUACUUGUUCCCGUACACCGCUGAGGAGGAUCACACGGUGUCACCUACACCAUAUAUGCUGUCCAUGUCAUCGCGCAUCUUGGCGUCCAGCAUGAGCCACCAUUCGCAAAAUUCGAAUCACGAGAACUUAAGUGGUUCCGAGCAACGCUAUGGUAGUUUGAAGCGAGGUCAGAGUCUUCAUGGCUCGCAGCACGAUAAUCUCAGCGGUUCUGAAAGAUACGGCAGUCUGAAACGUGGCAAGAUGGGUACCCCAACGGUGCUGGGAGACACACCCGAAUACAUCUUGCCGAUGAGCGGGAGAAUAUUGUCAAGCUCGUUGACCCAUGAUCUGCAACACAGUAAUGAGCUAGCGGCACUCAGGCAGCAGCAGCAGCAGCAGCAAUAUGAGCAGACCAUCACAGAGACCGAGUGGUGGAACAUUCUAAUAUAACUGUAUCUUUUCUGUGAUCCGUGCUUGCCCUAUCUACGGCUAUUGAAUCAUCAGCGAAGAGGAAGGAUACUAAUGCGGAAACGUCCGUUUGAUAGGUCCGUACCACACAAACGAGAACAACGUACAAAGUAAUUUAGCUUACGCCUAGCUUAAGUGUCCACAGCGCGCAAUAAAGACUCGAACGAUCGUCGAUAUAUAUAUAUUUUAAAAAAAGCAGCCAUGACUUAUAUAAUUAGCCAUAUUAAUUAGCGUAUAUUUGCGAGUGCUCGUUCAUAUAUCGCAUACGGAUGGGUUGGCCGCAGUAAUCUAUCGGAGAGAUAAAUGUCGCAUGUUGGAGUAUCUUUCAAUGAUUUGACAGCAAACGAUGCGAUGUCGUUCAUAUAAUUAUUUGUUUAAUGGAUGUCAUUAAAAAUGAAUAUUAUCGACAAUUAUCGUUUGCAUCAUUGGAAAAUAUCGAUGUGACGUCUAUUCAUGGUUACGCAAUUGAAGGAUUCGGUGCAAAACUAUGCAAGAGGUAGUAAAAGUUGAUAAUUUCUAAAUUUUUAUUUUAGUUACAAUCUCGUGUAACUAAAAGUAACUUAAAACUUUGUGUUUAAGAAAACACAUCGCGAGUUACACUCAAUUAUGGCUUACCUCGUGCGUGCAGCGAAUGCGUUCAAUUAUUCCGAUCGAUCCGAUAUAAAAAAUUUUGGCGCUUAUUGUUUACUUUGUAUUAAGAAGCGACUUGGUGAUUUACGAAUCUUUGAUUUUUCUCGGCGAACGAUCUAAUUGCUAUUAAUCGGCAAUGACGUUUGGAGAAAGAUACGGAGAACGAAAAUGAUCUCUAAUCAAUCAUUAUACUCGUUAGUAUCAUUCUAUCUUUUCUCGAAUUCGGUAUUGUGCAAUGUACACAUUCCACUGCCUCUAUCCUCUCUUUCAUAUACAUGUGCGUAUGUAUAAUUUUAGGUUCUACAUUUGCGUCCAUUUUCCUUUUUUUAUAUAGAAGUUUACAAUUUUUCUCUCUUUAUUUUACAUGCCAUGAAGAAGAAGAAGAAGGAGAAAAAACAUAGUGUAAGUCGAAGCAUGUCAAUUGUGCAGCGCAGUUUUUUUCAUACUUUUGUAUAUAUAUACUCAUAUAAGACAAAGAGGAAAACGAACUGUGACAAAAUACAUAAUUUAUAUACCCUUCA